CUGCCACCUGGGGGGGCAGCGGGUGGCAUGUGGAGCCUCCCACCACCAUCUAGGUCCUGAGAUGCGGUGAAGCCCAGCCUGUCUGACAUCAUCCCCCAGCAUGGACCGCGGAAGCCUGCUGCCCUUCCAGCUGUGGUGCCCCCGGCCCUUUGGCACCUACUCACAGAACCAGCCUCGCCCAGCUUCUGCAGCCCUCAAGCCAUCAGCCUGCGCUGAGCCUGGUGGCGGAGGUGAGCCAGACCAUGGGCCUGCCCACUCAGAGAGCACACCACCUGCCUUGGCCACUGAGGCUCCUCCCAGCGGGCUCCACUCCUCUCAGCAGCAGCUGCUGGCGAUGAGGGUCGAGUCCUCCUGGACACGUGGUAUGUCAUCAAGCCUGGGAAUACAAAGGAGAAGGUGGCCUUCUUUGUGGCCCACAGUGUGGUGGGAGCAGCCGGGCCAGCUCCAUGAAGGUCAAGGGGCACUGGGGCAGCAAGAGCUCCAAGGCCAAGCGGAUACGGCGCUGUCUUGACCCCACCAAGGCUCCUCCCCAUCCAGGGGAUCGGGAGGGGUCCCCUGCUACUGAGGAGGGCCCCUCCUCAGCCGGUGAGGACGUGGACCUGCUCUCUGUGGCAGAGAUGGUGGCCCUGGUGGAACAGCGGGCCGCCCUGGCCCUGCAGAGCUACCCACGACCAGCCGCCCUAGCACCUGUAGUCUUUGUGUCGGCUGAGCAGAGUGGACCGGCCAAGGGUGUGGGGUCCGAACGGCGGUCUGGCGGUGGGGACUGCAGCCGUGUAGCCGAGGCCGUGGCCCACUUCGAGGCGCAGAGGGAUAGCCCUCCUACCAAGGGCCUCCGCAAGGAGGAGCGGCCGGUACCGGCCCCGGGGAGGUGCGCAUCGCCUUCCGCAUCUCCAACGGCCGGGAGCCCAGUGCACCAGACAGCGGCCUGCCCAGUGGGGGCAGGGGCAGGCCUGGUUGUGCCUACCCUGGCAGCCCAGGUCCCGGGGCCCGAUCCAAGGACAAGAUCACGUGUGACUUAUACCAGCUCAUCAGCCCCUCGCGGGAUGCCCUCCCCAGCAACGUGGAGUUCCUGCUGGCCAGGGCGGAUGAGGCCAGCGAGGGUGAGAGCCCAGCGCCUGUAAGAUCCGAGGACACUCCCCCGGCGCCUCCUCCGCCCACUGCCCGGGACUGUGGAGCGUCUGGCGUCCACGUGGACGUGGUGGUGACGGGCGUGGUGGAUGAGUGCAUCUUCUUUGGCAAGGACGGCACCAAGAACGUGAAGGAGGAGACUGUGUGCCUGACGGUCAGCCCCGAGGAGCCGCAGCCUCCCGGCCAGCUCUUCUUCCUCCAGAACCACGGGCCGGACGGGCCCCCAGAGCCUCCCGCGGCAGACUCGCCGGCCACCGCGCCUGGCCCGGACGAUGCCGAGGGCACGGCGGACACUUCCCUGUGCCGCCUGUACCGACACGUGUCGCACGACUUCCUAGAGAUCCGCUUCAAGAUUCAGCGGCUGCUGGAGCCGCGGCAGUACAUGCUGGGGCUGCCCGAGCACGUGCUGGUCAAGAUCUUCAGCUUCCUGCCCACGCGCGCGCUGGCCGCCCUCAAGUGCACCUGCCACCACUUCAAGGGCAUCAUUGAGGCGUUCGGUGUGCGGGCCACAGACUCGGGCUGGAGCCGAGACCCGCUCUACCGCGAUGACCCGUGCAAGCAGUGCCGCAAGAGAUACAAAAAGGGCGACGUGUCGCUCUGCCGCUGGCACCCCAAGCCCUACCACCACGACCUGCCUUACGGACGGACGUUCCUACUGGAUGUGCUGCCGUCAAGCCGACAGCGAGACGCCGGGUUGCCGCCUGCGCCUCCACGACAACAACUGGGUGCUGCCCUGCAACGGGCCGGGCGGGGGGCCGGGCAGGCCGGGAGGAGGGGAGGUGAAGCCGGGGGAGGGGCGGGGAGAGCCCACUAUGCCCGCCCCUCCCCCUUCCCCGGGAGCCGAGGGUCUGGACUGGGCCACCUGCUCCCAUUCCCCCACUCCAGGCAGCGUUGAUCCCUUCACGGAACUGCGCCGGGGUUCAGCGGGAGUGACCAGGAAAGCACUCUGCUGGCUCCUGUUUGUUUUCUAUUCUUCAGAACCAGGGCGGUGGACCCUCAGAGAAGGGUGAUUUUUUUUAUCAGCAUCUCACUUUCUUCUCCAUUCAGCCCCUACCCUGUCCCUGCCACGCUCUCCACCCCAGGGACCCACCAGCAGGGAGCAGACGUCAGCUAAUUUUGGUACCACUUAAGGGUUCCCCCAUUCUGGCCCCCCAUCCUCCCCCAUGCCCCAAUUCUUUUUCGCAGGAGCUGUUAUUUCCCAAGAGGCCGCAGCGCCCAAGGCUGGCACCUCUUCUAACCUGCCACACCAGAGUUCUCACCUCUCUAGGAAUUGAGGGCUGUCAGGUCACAGGUGGGAUUUGGGAUUUUUUUCAUGACAGCUCGCCAUUUCUAGAUGGUUUCCCUAUUAAAGAAGUUGGGGGAGGGGGAAAUGCUGUUUUCUCCUUAACCUCAAGCUGCCAGUCUCUCCUCUUCCCCAGUGAGGAAGAGGUGGAAAAAGCUGAAGUAUAAAAAUCCUCCUCCUCCCAUUAUUCUUUAAGCUACUGACAUCACCCCCACUCCCAUAAAGCUGUGAAGCCCUUUGCCUGGCUCUUGACAGAGCAAGGGGCCCGUGGGCAGGGACUGCGGAUUUGCAUUUCGGGGUUGUUUUUCCUUCCACUCUGGGCUCCUUCAGGCAUCGGGGUCUCCUCACCCCCGGCCAUCUGUUUUUUUAAGAAUCCUUUGGUCAACCAGGACCUUGAUUUUUUCAGGCAUUUUGGUCUGGUGUAUUUUUGUUUGUUC